UCUAUAGCAGGGUAUCACAGUAGAGACCAGUGGAGGCUGGUGGAAGGAGCUAUAGGAGGACAGGCUAAUUUUAAUGUCUGGAAUGGACUUCAAUGUGGUUUCCAUGUGUCUGACACCGUUCCAUUCAUUCCAGAGUAUGUGAGAGGAGCGGGCCCAAUGUGACUGGAAGGUGGAGCGAGGGGCCCAAUGUGACUGGAAGGUGGAGCGAGGGGCCCAAUGUGACUGGAAGGUGGAGCGAGGGGCCCAAUGUGACUGGAAGGUGGAGCGAGGGGCCCAAUGUGACUGGAAGGUGGAGCGGGGGGCCCAAUGUGACUGGAAGGUGGAGCGGGGGGCCCAAUGUGACUGGAAGGUGGAGCGAGGGGCCCAAUGUGACUGGAAGGUGGAGCGAGGGGCCCAAUGUGACUGGAAGGUGGAGCGAGGGGCCCAAUGUGACUGGAAGGUGGAGCGAGGGGCCCAAUGUGACUGGAAGGUGGAGCGAGGGGCCCAAUGUGACUGGAAGGUGGAGCGAGGGGCCCAAUGUGACUGGAAGGUGGAGCGAGGGGCCCAAUGUGACUGGAAGGUGGAGCGAGGGGCCCAAUGUGACUGGAAGGUGGAGCGAGGGGCCCAAUGUGACUGGAAGGUGGAGCGAGAUUACCAAAGGCUGGAGGGUCGGCCUUCUCGCCCGCUCCACUUUCUCUCCAGUAGUGCUCACUUCACCAGCUCAGGGCGUGCCCGGCCCAGCAUGCAUCUGUAGUCUACUGGUGUGCUGCUAUAAGCCCCUUGCUUUAGCUACUGUC